GGGAAUAUGCCUUAGGGUGGGGGACAACAGUUGGAAACGACUGCUAAUACCGCAUAACGUCUACGGACCAAAGGGGGCUUCGGCUCUCGCCCUUAGAUUAGCCCAAGUGGGAUUAGCUAGUUGGUGAGGUAAUGGCUCACCAAGGCGACGAUCCCUAGCUGGUUUGAGAGGAUGAUCAGCCACACUGGAACUGAGACACGGUCCAGACUCCUACGGGAGGCAGCAGUGGGGAAUAUUGCACAAUGGGCGCAAGCCUGAUGCAGCCAUGCCGCGUGUGUGAAGAAGGCCUUAGGGUUGUAAAGCACUUUCAGUAAGGAGGAAAGGUUAGUAGUUAAUACCUGCUAGCUGUGACGUUACUUACAGAAGAAGCACCGGCUAACUCCGUGCCGGCAGCCGCGGUAAUACGGAGGGUGCGAGCGUUAAUCGGAAUUACUGGGCGUAAAGCGUACGCAGGCGGUUUGUUAAGCGAGAUGUGAAAGCCCCGGGCUCAACCUGGGAACUGCAUUUCGAACUGGCAAACUAGAGUAUGAUAGAGGGUGGGUAGAAUUUCAGGUGUAGCGGUGAAAUGCGUAGAGAUCUGAAGGAAUACCGAUGGCGAAGGCAGCCAC
rnacentral:rRNA from 1 species